UUAAAAAAAGGAAAAUAAUGAAAGGAUUGUCCUUAUCUAUUGAGCGAGCUAAAUAGGCAAAAAUGAAAAAUUGAUCACCUAUGAUACAUUUUUUUUAAGAUAUAUAAGUGCAAAAAAUUGAAACAAAUAAACAAAACAUAGUACAUUUAUAAACAUUUCUAUAGGAGAAAAAUAUGUCUCAAAUUUUUAAGUUCGUUUAUUUAGUGAUCUUUUUAAUUUUCUUAUUUCUUGUUGUAGUUGAUGCUAGUGAAAUUGCAAGGAUGAGGUGCAAAGAUGAUUCUCAUUGUUCCAAGUAUGUGUGCGAACAUCCUUUUGUUCCAAAAUGUGUUUUUCAUCAAUGUAGAUGUCGUUAAUUAUAAGCAAACUCAAUUCUAAGAGAUUUGUAUUGUAAUCUGAAAUGAUGAAGCAAAUAUUUCAUCUGGAAUUGUUAUAAAAUAGCCAUUAGAGCUACCGUUAUUAAUAAUAGAAUUUAUUCUCUUGCA